rnacentral:rRNA from 1 species
AGCAGCCGCGGUAAUUCCAGCUCCAAUAGCGUAUAUUAAAGUUGUUACAGUUAAAAAGCUCGUAGUUGAAUCUCGGGGUCAGUGCGUCGGUCGUGCCUUCGGUACGUACUAACGUUAUUGAUUCCUACCUUCUGACGAACCGUGAUGUCAUUAAUUUGGUGUUACGGGGAAUCAGGACUGUUACCUUGAAAAAUUAGAGUGUUUAAAGCAGGCCAAAGCUUGAAUACAUUAGCAUGGAAUAAUGAAAUAGGACGUUUGACCCUAUUUUGUUGGUUUCUAGGAUCGACGUAAUGAUUAAUAGGGAUAGUUGGGGGCAUUAGUAUUCAAUUGUCAGAGGUGAAAUUCUUGGAUUUAUUGAAGACUAACUACUGCGAAAGCAUUUGCCAAGGAUGUUUUCAUUAAUCAAGAACGAAAGUUAGGGGAUCGAAGACGAU